AAUAAAUAUAUUUUCCUUCAUUCAUUCCUUCACUCUUCUCUCUGACACACUCAAACACUCCAAUUUAGAGAGAGAAAAAACCCCAGAAUUUAGAGAGAGAAAGCUUGGUUCAAGCAACAAUGGUGAUGACCUUGAGAAAAAGGGUUCCUUCAAUUGCACCACAAAUUGAGUCUGAUUCUUAAACCCCACCAAAAAAGAAGAAAACCCAGAAAAAUUCAAAACCCAUUAAGAGAAGAGAGACUUUUUCCUCUUCAGAAUCUGAAUUUAACUCAGAUUCUGAGAAGGAAAAUGAGAGUUCAUUUGAGUAUGAGAAGAUUAAAGAACAGAGGAUUCGAGAAAACAGAGAGAGAAUGGAGAAAUUAGGGAUUUUUACUCUUUCUUCUCAAGUUUUUAAUGGUAAUCAAAAGGUGGGUCGUCGCAAAAACCCUCCUCAGAAGAAGAAGCGUUAUCCUCCUCUUUAUCCUCGUGUUCGCGAUCGUUCGUAUGAUUAUGCGAGGAGGUUUUCUGGUUGAAGGAUAUGGAGACUGAGAGGUCAUUGAAAGAGAUGGGAAUUUCGAGAAAAGCUUUUGGGAAUUUCGACCGAGGUUUAUACUGAAGAAGAUGAAAAGCUUUUGGGUGAUUGCGAGACGAUUUGGACCUUGGAGGCUGAUAGCCUAGACGAGGAUGGUGAACCUGAUCUUGAAAGGCCACCUUGUCACCAAUGCAGGCAAAGGCGUGCCAGGAAAUUUCCCUAUUGCAGUAAAUGUAGGACUCCCCAGGGGCAGAUAUGUGGAGAAUGCUUGUACACUAGGGCUACCUUCCAACUUGGUACCCUAGAUUCACCAGUGAGCUGUCGAAUGACCAGCUUGGAAUCUCCGCGAACUUAUAGGAACUGAAACCCCAUUAGGACCGCCGCUUCGAGGCCAAUAACAAGCGAUUCAAAAGAGUUGGUAUGCGCGCACAUAGCAUUUGCGAGACAAGGGGUACUCAAAGACCUUUUGACUACGGUUCCAUUAAGUAAUCUCGGGAAAUGUCAAGUUAUUACGUCCCCCGGGCAUUAGAUUGCAGCUUAGUGUGAAGAAUAGGUUAUGCGUUAUGUGGCAGAAUCAGAAUUAGAGUAUCAAAAUCUCGAGGGGAAUCGUCGUAUAUAUGAUGAAAGGGAUGUAUGGUAUUUGAUCUUUCGAAUCACUGCUUUGUUUUCAAGCUCUAAAAGCUUGAUUGAUAAAUGACUGAGAAUACUGUAAAGUUAGUAACUUACAUUUAUCUUUAUUGGCUUUACAUUUAUUUUUUGAGUGACUGUCCUAAGUUGUGCUUGUGCUACACUACAUGUCUAUAGGUAUGGAGAAAAUGUUCUGGAAGCUCGCCAAAAUCCAACUUGGUCAUGCCCUGCUUGUCGAGGCAUGUAACUGCAGCCGCUGCCGCCGGACAAAGGGAUGGGAUCCAAUUAAUAUUCCACACUCCAAGGCCCUUGCUGAGCCCUGAGGGCUAAUGUUCCUUUUGUAGGUCAUUGAAUCAGGAUUCAACUCAGUAGCACAUAUCUUAUCUUAACUCGACGUGCUGGUGCUACACCAAAAGAGUUGAAUGAUGGAGCUGAGGUGGUUGAUUUAACAGCUGAAGAGAUAGCAGCAGCCCCACAUGAUGAAGGCUCUGACUAUUCUGCUGAGUGGUCAGGAGCUGAAUCUGAUGAUUCUGACAGUGAGGAUGAGACAAAAGGUGAUAAGAAUAACGAGGAGCAGCCUGAUAAGAAUGAUGAGGAGCAGCUUGAUGAGAAUCAAGUUGCUUCUGCUGAGAAAUCUAUUGAUGCUGCUGUUGCUACUGAUAGAGAUGAAGUUCUUUAGGAGCUCAACUGUCUAAAACUUGCAUCUUUAGCCUGAAAUGAAGAUUGUACACAACUUCUUGGUGAAGUUGAUACAAUAGAUUAGCUAGAGUUGCAGUAGGUUUAGUCUUUUGAUCUAUAGGAGUUCUUGAAGCCUUUUACCCUUAUUUGGCUAGUAUAUACUAGUAUUUCCGGUGUAGGAGAAUGCUGGCUUCUGUUUUGGUACUUUUUGGUAGUUUAAGUAUCUCAGGAAGUUGCAUAACUUUUGCAAUGAAGGUUCUUAUGCCUCCUUGGCAGCUUCUUAUCCUUGUAUAGUUUUAGGUUAUUUGCUUAUUUGCCAAUUGUCCCGGUUAGCUCGAUCUUUAUUUUGGUUUUUGGAUUCUUGGGAGCCAGGUAGGCAAUUUUGUAUAUUUAUUUCUUGUUUGCAAUGAAAGGCUAUGUUUCGUUAUAUUGCUUUAUUCAACAAAUCCAAAACUACUGAUGAAGUCUCAAAAAUUUACCUUAAUAAAGCUUAAAGGCUAGUGAAAUUG